CAUUUUCCAUCUCUUUGCUUUUGGUUGGACCUUUUCGGCUUUUCCUCUUUCUCUAUUCUCUAUCCAUCUCUUUCUUUGUCUCUUUGUCUCUGGGUCCAAGAAUAAUUUGGGCUUAGCUGAAUGGGAACUUAGAGUUAUCUUCAUCCAGGAAAAUAAGGGAUAAAAAUCAGAGCUUUGGCUUAAAAAUUUCCAUGGAAAUUUCUUGACCCAUUUUUCUAGGCCAUAUCUUCUUUCAAUGGAGGUUCCGGGGGAGGAUGAGGUUAAAAAGGCAGAGGAUCGUAUGACAUCAGCCGCGGCUUUUGUUGAAGGAGGUAUACAGGAGGCAUGUGAUGAUUCAUGCAGCAUAUGCCUUGAAGCCUUCUGCGAAAGUGAUCCAUCCACGGUAACUAUUUGCAAGCAUGAGUUUCACCUUCAAUGUAUUCUUGAAUGGUAUGUAAG